CCUACGGGAGGCAGCAGUGGGGAAUAUUGGACAAUGGGGGGAACCCUGAUCCAGCCAUGCCGCGUGUGUGAAGAAGGCCUUAUGGUUGUAAAGCACUUUAAGCGAGGAGGAGGCUACUAGUAUUAAUACUACUGGAUAGUGGACGUUACUCGCAGAAUAAGCACCGGCUAACUCUGUGCCAGCAGCCGCGGUAAUACAGAGGGUGCGAGCGUUAAUCGGAUUUACUGGGCGUAAAGCGUGCGUAGGCGGCCAUUUAAGUCAAAUGUGAAAUCCCCGAGCUUAACUUGGGAAUUGCAUUCGAUACUGGAUGGCUAGAGUAUGGGAGAGGAUGGUAGAAUUCCAGGUGUAGCGGUGAAAUGCGUAGAGAUCUGGAGGAAUACCGAUGGCGAAGGCAGCCAUCUGGCCUAAUACUGACGCUAAGGUACGAAAGCAUGGGGAGCAAACAGGAUUAGAUACCCUGGUAGUCCAUGCCGUAAACGAUGUCUACUAGCCGUUGGGGCCUUUGAGGCUUUAGUGGCGCAGCUAACGCGAUAAGUAGACCGCCUGGGGAGUACGGUCGCAAGACUAAAACUCAAAGGAAUUGACGG
rnacentral:rRNA from 1 species